ACCCGGAGCGAGGCCAUCGUGCAGCAAGGAGGCGAGGAGCGGCGGCGGCGCUGAGCCGGGCCCGGGUGUGGGGGCGCCUAUAUCCCCAGCCCAAGCUGCAGGAAGCCGCGCCGCUUCCUCGGAGGGGCUGGGACGGCGGCGGCCACGUGGGGGGCGGGGGCGACGCUCGGGGCCCGCGGCUGGAGGGGGAGUCGCUGCCUCACCCGCGCCUGGCGCCCGCGGCUCCCUCCGCCUCGCCGGCGUUGGCCCACCCUCUCGUAGCUCACCCCGCGAGGCUGGACAGCUCCCGGAACCCCGGAACCGGGAUCUAUUUCGGGGGCUCGGCUGCGUGGCGCCCAGGACUCUCCAGGGUCUCCCAGGAUCGCUCCCCGAAUUCGAGUCGCCCCCUCUCUCUUUCGGGUCUGGAGGGGUCGGCAAGCUGCUCUCCCAGACGUGGAGAAGAGGGAGGGGGCUGGGAGCUCCAGCGGCCUCUCGACGCCGCUGCUUCUAAGGGGCUGUCCUGGGUUGUGGGGGAAGGGGCGCCUGGAGCUGAGCCAUGCAGCUCAGGGUUCCUUAUCCUAUCCCUAGGAAUACCAGCUGAUGUCAGUCCGCCAGCCAAAACCAGGGAGGAGAAGCGGGAGCCAGCCCUCUGGAGUCGGGAGAAGGUCUGGGGAGUGGGGUAGAGGGGAAAGCAAAGUCCAAAUACCUUCCCUUCAGACACCUCCUGGGGCCUAGACCCCACAAACCUGUUGUGGGGAGGGCAAAAUACGAUGACUACGUUCCCAGGAAGAAGGUGCCACAGCUCUUCAGGACCACGGUUGGGAGAAAGAAUGGAGGGGUUUUAGAACCUUCAGUGUGCGACUUCAUGUGCCAGGUGAGUGUAACACCAUUUUACAGACCGAGAAGCUAAAGCUCAGGGCCAACAGCCCGGGAUUUGAAUUCAGAAGCUCUGGGUUCUAAUUCUGUCUUCUUACUCCCCAGCUAUAGAGCCUUGAAUGACACGUUUACCUUCAGGACUUCUCAUGUGAAAUAGGGACAUUCCCCUCCUCACUGUAUGAUGGCAGCUGUGAAAGGGCACUGCACUCGCUAAAUGCUAGUUUCCUUUCCUCUUUUCCUAAGUGACUUAUCUAAGGUCACACUGUUAAGGAAGCAGCAAGGCUGAGUCUGGGCCUCCGGGGGUCCUGACUUCAGCCACACCACAGCUGCUUCUUGUGUCCUGGGCCAGAGGUUCAUUAGUCUGAAGCAGCUGAGGAGCCCAGGAGCUGGUUUGGCCAUGACGUUCAAGUCCCAGACACAGCUGUCAGCACCAAACUUUCCUAAAUUACUCCCAGACACUGACCCUUGGACUCAGCUGCUGCUGUUGUCCCAGUUUACUGAUUCCUGCCCACCACAAAUUAUCUGUCCUGAUCUCUCCUGAAGUCUUCAUCUCAGGAUCUCAAGCUCUUGGAUCAUGGGCACGGAUAACCUGUUGUCCUCCUCUAUGGUCAAGAGGCUGCUUUUGCAAAGAAUCCAGUGGGAGAGAGUCAAUGGCCUGCUUGACGUGAACUCCAAAGUCCUCCUGGAACAGGGGCUCACUCUGUUGCCCACAUUGGAGUGCGGUGGAAGAAUCAUGGCAUGCUGCAGUCUUGAGCUUCUAGGCUCAAGAGAUCCUCCUGGUUCAGUCUCCCAAGUAGCUAGGACAGCAGGCAUAUUUUUUGUAGAUAUGGGGGUCUUGCUUUUUUGCCGAGGCUGGUCUCGAACUCCUGGCUUCAAGCAAUCUUCCUGCAUCAGUCUCUUAAAGUGUUGGGAUUCCAGGCAUGAACCACUGCACCUGGCCCUUGGGAAGUUUUAUUUUUAGCCUAGGGUUGGGGUUAAGUUUGCAUCAUGAUGUUGAGACCUCCAAAGGAGAACUUAUUGUAGUCAUUCCUGAGCUCAGGUGUCCAAACUGUCUAAUUGGAGAAUCUGGGAAUUUUCUCUCGUUUUGAUUUUCCUCUUCCACUUUUCCAUGCCAGUUGGAUGUUUGAAUGUUUUUAUCGACCUCUGAGAGCAUCCGGGUAACUGAGGGUUUACUUUGGGGGUCUUUGGAGAUGAAUAGGGACAGGAGACCUCACCUUUCUUUUCCAUGUAGCCAUAGGAGAUAGUCCCACGAUCUGAUGAUCUGUAGCAAUGGGUAGAGGAAGGGCCGUAUUAGGAACAGAAGCUAGUUUCGUCAUGGGAAGUCCCCUGUUUUCCACUCCUGAGGGCCCUCACAUUCCCUUUCUAAGCCCCUUUCUGCUUUUGCUAUUAAAAAAUACAGUUUUUAAAUUGCAAGUAAUAUGUAAGUAUAUACUUGUUGCAAAAUAUUUAACCCAGAAAACUUUGUAUCCCCACUCAUAUCUCAUUUCCCACAUAUUCUGGAUUUUUUUAAAGGAAAGCAUAAAUGGGAUUUGAUACUCCUAUUAUUCAGUGACUUUUUUUUUUCUUGAGAUGGAGUCUUGCUCUGUUGCCCAGGCUGGAGUGCAGUGGCGCCAUCUUGGCUCACUGCAACCUCCGCUUCCCAGGUUCAGGUGAUUCUACUGCCUCAGCCUCCUGAGCAGCUGGGAUUACAUGUGUACGCCGCCACAUCCAGCUAAUUUUUGUAUUUUAGUAGAGACAGGGUUUCACCAGGUUGGCCAGGCUUGUCUUGAACUCCUGACCUCAAGGGAUCCACCUGCCUUGGCCUCCCAAAAUGCUGGGAUUACAGGUGUGAGCCACUGUGCCUGGCCUCAGUGUCUUUUAAAAAAUGUGAUACUAUUGCUGGGUAUGCAGCUCAUGCCUGUAAUCCCAGUUACUCGGGAGCCUGAAGCAGGAACUUGAGCCCAGGAAUUGGAGACUAACCUGGGUGAUAUAGCGAGACUCUGUCUAAAAUAAUAAUAAUGAUAAUAAAGAAGCCAGGCACAGUGCCUCACACCUGUAAACCCAACACUUUGGAAGACCAAGGCAGGAGGAUCACUUGAAGUCAGGAGUUCAAGACCAGCCUGGGCAACAUGGCAAGACCCUGUCUCUACAAAAAAUAAAAAUAAAUUAGCCAGGCUUGGUGGCACAUGCCUGUAGUCCCAGCUCCAC
rnacentral:lncRNA from 1 species